rnacentral:rRNA from 1 species
GAUGAACGCUAGCGGCAGGCCUAACACAUGCAAGUCGAGGGGUAGAAGGAGCUUGCUCCUUUGAGACCGGCGCACGGGUGCGUAACGCGUAUGCAAUCUACCUUGUACAGGGGAAUAGCCCAGAGAAAUUUGGAUUAAUGCCCCAUAGUAUAUAACCUUCGCAUGUUGGUUAUAUUAAAGUUCCAACGGUACAAGAUGAGCAUGCGUCCCAUUAGUUAGUUGGUAAGGUAACGGCUUACCAAGACGAUGAUGGGUAGGGGUCCUGAGAGGGAGAUCCCCCACACUGGUACUGAGACACGGACCAGACUCCUACGGGAGGCAGCAGUGAGGAAUAUUGGUCAAUGGUCGCAAGACUGAACCAGCCAUGCCGCGUGCAGGAAGACGGUCCUAUGGAGUGUAAACUGCUUUUAUACAGGAAGAAACCCUCCCACGUGUGGGAGCUUGACGGUACUGUAGGAAUAAGGAGCGGCUAACUCCGUGC